rnacentral:pre_miRNA from 1 species
UGGCUUUUAUGUAUUUACGUUGCAUAUGAAAUGAUAUUUAUAGUAAACAGAUUAUUUUAUAUGAAGGUAUGUGCAGCUCAAGAGCCUGUCCAUUG